UCCAAACAGAACUUGGAACCCUUGUUAAUGGGUGUCACAAUCUAGUAACAGCCAUCUCCCAAGCUUACUUGGCCAGAGUCGGUCAACAGCGAACAUGCUGAGCUGCUUCUCCACUUCGAGAGGCUGCAGCCUCAGGACCCCAGGUAGAGAAAGUAUCUAUGAAAGAUUAAGAAGAUGGCUGACUCCAUCCAGAUGCCACAGGCCAUGCUGCAGCAGCCACACAACUGUCACAGACACCCCAGGGACGGUCUCCCCAGGAGUGACCACCAGUGACCUACCAAAAUCAAGAACAUCCUAAAGUGCCUUGUCCAGGAGGAGAGAAAUCCAUCCACCACAGAGCUGCAGGCUGCUGGAGAAAGCUGUAUUAUGUGAAUGGCCACACUUUUCAAGCCAAACAGUUCAGCAGGUCUCAUUUUACAUCCCUGUAAUAACCACCCUCAGCUCUGCAUUUUGAAAGCAACACAUCAGCCUUGAUCUCAAAGACUGAAGUUCAGCAGAAGUGCAGGUAGAAAUGAAAGACUAACUCGAAGGCGGAGGACCAACCCUCUGAGAUGUGGACACAAACCCUCUGAGUUCACAGGAUAUUGUAAAGGAAGGUGACAGGAGCAGUAAAUAAGCCACUGCAGUAGAUCAGGGGUCAGCAGCCUUUUAAAAGGGGUGAACUGGAGAGCUGACCUCUAUCCUUCUGGCCUGCUGUUCCCUUGCUGACCACAUCUUUGAAAUAGAAGAGGCCAAAUUCCCAUCUGUAAGUCUCUGGGUGGAAAAGACUUCUGGCCCUCAUACUGCUGGUGGCCCAGCCACCCACAUGGAUAAUGAAGAGCUGUGUGUUAAACUCUACUUCGGACAAGGACUGCACAGGCACAAAGCCCUUCAUACUCCUAAGUGAAAUAAAUAGGACACCCAUGUGUAAAUACCGAAUAGUUUCUCUGGUGUGAGAAACUAAAAGUGUAAAUAAGGUUUAAAUGUAUAAUUGAUAAUGUGAAAAGGUCUAAAGGAGCAGGGGAAGUGGGAGGGGUAGGAUAAAGGAAAGAAGAGAAAAGAAAAAAACAUGAGAAAAG
rnacentral:lncRNA from 1 species